UUUUCUGAGGAAGAAGAGAGAGCAGGCCAGCUGGCAGCUCCUGAGGACCACAGAGAGCAGGAAAAGAGCCAUCUGGAGCAGAUAGGGAAAAGGGUUGUGAGGUGCUUGGAGAGAGACCGUGGGAAUGGACAGAGAGAAGUCUUCAGAGGGAGAAAUGCUGUCACCUACCACAGGUGCCUCUGCAUUGCUUGCAGGCCUCCACCGCCCCCAUCUUCCCUACAGACUAUCAAAGGAAUUAGGAUUUGGAAGGAUGGAUGCACAGAGCACCUAACGUUUAAAUCUUUACGCAGCUUUUACUCCCAGUCAGGAGACCAACAGCAAGCCCAGGCACUGAAAUCUCCUGCCUCCUAUUUGCUCACGUCCCCUCCUUGUCAAGUGGUAGGAAAGACCCAGGUCAAAGUCUUACAGGACUGUGGUUUCUGUAUGAAUUGCUGA
rnacentral:lncRNA from 1 species